AGGAGCAGUCUUUCCAGGCUAGGGGUCAAAUUGGAGCUGUAGCCGCUGACCUAAACCACAGCAACUCAGGAUCUGAGUCACAUCUGUGACCUACAUGAUAGCUCAUGGCAAUGCCGAAUCCUUAACCUACUUAGUAAGGCCAGGGAUAGAACCUGCAUCCUCAUGGUUGCUAGUUGGAUUCAUUAACCACUGAGGCGGGAACUCCUUGUAAAUCAAUUCUGAAUCAGUAGACUGUUCUGGAAGGAUAGGAAUAGUAUCUCAUUUGAUAUCCUCUGUAUUUGGCCUGGGUAGCAGAGUACAUGUUGCAAAAUGAGCCUAAGGCAAUUCAGGCAUGCAUGACUCAGGUCAUUUUUGGGGAAUAAUGUAAAUGAUAAUAGUAUGUAGGAAGUGCUGAGUUUGGCUACUCUCUCACAAACUUGCUACCAGAUAAAAAUAAAAACAGGUUUCAGGCAAAAUUCAGGGACACAAAAGGCAUUUAUUAAUCAAGCAUUCAUAAGUAAGUGGCAAGUGUAGCUCAAAUUUUCUGUAACCUCACAGGUAUCCUAUUGCUUUGUGUAAUUCUUUUAAGUGCUUACACUUCCUUUUGUAUGCAAAAUUCAUUGAAGACAGACAAUGGCAUUCUGGGGGAGAAAGAUUAGGAAGUCAGAACUAUGAAACCAGUAGCUAAAUAAGGGACCAAGUAAAGAAUCGAACCUCUAAUGUUACCUCUAAUACUACAUGUCAUAGUUUGCUGGAUUCUUAUGUUUUUUCAGGGAUUGAGGGGUGUUUCUAAAUCAUUUAACCCAAUCUACAUAUUUUGACUAUUUUUUUUUCAAUAAUUUUUUUUAUUUUCCCACUGUACAGCAAGGCGGUCAGGUUAUCCUUACAUGUAUACAUUACAGUUAUAUUUUGACUAUUUUUAAUUUCACCAGUAAUAGUUUUUCCCCCUUUUUUAGCUGUGUCCACAGCACAUGGAAGUUCCUGAGCCUGGGAUUGAACCAUGUCACAGCAGCGACCUUAGCUGCUGCAGUGACAAUGCCAAAUUCUUAAACCCUGUGCCACAAGAGAACUCCAAUGUAUUUUGAACAUAUUGUUUUGAUUAAUAAGUCACUGAUGGACCAACAAAAUCCAAUUUUUAAUAAAAUAGCAAGGAGUACCCUGGUAGCUCUGCAGUUACUGAUCCAGCCCUGUCACUGCUGUGGCUUGGUCACUGCUAUGGCAAGGGUUUGAUUCCUUACCUGGAAACUUCUGAAUACCAUGGGCUUGGCCAAAAAAAAAAAAAAAUUAAUAGUUUGCAAAGUGUCAUUUGUUGAUCUGAAAGAUUUGUAGAAGAUGCUCUGGAAUCUUGGUUUUUUUUUUAUGUAAUGCCAGCUCACCACUCUGUUAUGAAUCCUAACAGCAAGUUUACCUAACCACCCUAGCAUUAAAAGUUAAACUAACUGGUAUCUACUUAAUCUCACAUUGAUUAUACUGAAGUACUACCAGACAUCAUGACGGGAACCUCUGGCUUCAGCCCUUAGUCAUUCUUUGGAAUGUGUAGCCAAGGGUACCAACCUUCUCACAUAUAUAUCUGCAUCGCAGUGGGACUUAGAAUUACAGGGGAAAAAAGUUUGUUCUAAGUCUUGUAGGAGUAUGCAGUAUGCUGAUUACCAAGCAAUAACAACUAUUUUCCAUUUUUUACUAUAAAUUUACUGAUGAUCAAACUAAUACAUAUUGUGAUAAAGAUUGCCAAUUGUCUCCUAUAUUAAAGAGCAUUUGGAACAAUGUACAAGUAUUAAAAACAAAGCAGGAGAAUAACAAUAACUCUAUGACCCAGUCAACCAUGGUGAAGUGCUAUCUUAGCAGUCAUUGUGGCUUCCCUCCCCUUCCCUUUUCAGGAUGACACACUCUCUUGGUGCUGGCAGUGUUAGCUGCUAAUGGCCCUAUUCAGGCAUUGCCCUUGACCUCACAGGGCAGUCUGUGUUCAAUAACUGGUUGUUGAGGGACUACCAGAAGCCCAGCCUUCUUGCCUCAAUUGGGACGACUCUGGAGGGCCAUCCUAGUUCCAGAGUUCUAUCUAGGAAUGGCCAUGGCCUCUGUUGUAAUUGCUUUAUGGUUCAUCCUCCUGCUCUGCCAGUCCUUCUUCCCUCCCCACUCACAACCACCAUUCCCAAGAGCACUGGACAGCAAACUUCCUGCAUGCACAGCUUAGACUGUUGACAGGGAAUCUGACCCAUAUAUACAAUUACAAAUUUGGAAUUCUACUGUAAUACUGUGUUGCAAUCGGAUUUUUUUUUUGGCAUACAUACCAUGCUGGGUAUUCUCUAUUUGCUCCUCCAGCCCCACACUCCAUCCUUCUCCACCCAGCUCUAUUCUGGGAAGCUGACCUCUGUAGACUCCACCAGUGGGCUCUCUCACCCAGCCUUCCACCCAGGAGGGAGAUAGAGGAGAUCCCUCCUUGCCUGGCUGUGGUUGGAAGUGGCAUCAUUUUUCUCCUGGAGGCCAUUUGUCCUGCCAUGAGAUCAUCUUCAGCAGUCAGUCUUGUCAGGCACCCUGCUUGAGCAUGUCAUCUACUUCCUGGCAGGACCGUGGCUGGUAUGAAGAUGAACUGAAAGCAUUUCUCCCUUCUUUAAAUCUUCUAAAACAUGAUUUUCGUUGGCCACAUACAAUUCCGUCACAUAGACCUACUAGUGUUUUAUUUAACACUUCUCUAUUGAAGUAUAAAUACAAUUUUUACACUGAUUUUUUUUAUCAUAACAUAAAGUUUAUUAGGCCAUUUAAAACUGCCAAUAAACACCUCUUAAAAUGAUCGCUAUAUUCUUGAGUGGAGUGUGUUCCUUGAGUUGUUUAUUCAGUAGUGAUGGAGAUUUUUUUCUAAUUCACCUGAUUUAUUUUAUAUAGUGUUUAUAAGGACAAAAAUGCAUAUCAAGAUAAUUGGUUGGCUACCCUCUGUAGCUACUAUAGAGUAAAGCAAAGCUGUAGCCCAAACUCGCAACUUAGUUCUGGGCUCCUAACACAGUUGAACUGGUGUAAAUAAUACUUGCACUUGAAUCUGAAAUUUUUUUUCUGUUUUCUGGGCCAGGCUUUGCUUGGAUGCUGGAUAAUGGACUGCGUGAUAGCUUUUUACUCCUUGUGUGCUUGUAAUUCUAGAAAAAAUAAAAAGCAUUUAGUGCAAAGAAUUUGGAAGAGAAUAUAGUGUUGAUCAUCAAGUACCUCAUAUAACAAUAGCACCAUAAUGAAACAGUAAGAGGAGGUUUUUAAUCAAGGAGUAUGAGACUAGAAUAAACUAAACAUGAAAUUUAAAAUUCUGGGCUGCCAGUUCUCUUCAUAGUUUGGUGACCCUGUGUAGUUCUCUUUACCUAAGUUAAUCUUCUUCUAGUAUUAUGGUACUUCUAAUAUUAUGGUAGGUCACCUCAUGAACUCAUUCACUCAUUCGUUCAAUGCACUCAAUAAGUAUCGAGCACUUACUAUGUUGUAGGCACCACGAUGUGGCUGUGAACAAGUUAGAUAAUAUACGUCUCUCAAGAGUCAGAUAAUUGACAAGGGAAAAAAUAAACAAGACCAUCAUAAAUAUUGUUACCUACUAGAAGGAAAUAGGUAGGGUGAUGAAAGAGUAAAUGAGGCAGAGCCCUUUAGACUGGCUGGUCAGGGAUAAAUACAAACCACACAUUAUGUGUUAUAGCAGGUAGCAUGCUAGAGUGGAGGAAAGGCAUGGAUUUGAAGCAUGGUUUGUACAAGUUCCUUAACCUCUCUGAACACCUGGGCAUUCUGAAUGUAGCUGAUGAUAGUGCCUACUACUUAAAAUAGUAGUGGAAUUGAAUCAGAGAAAAUUCCUAGCACUGUAAGCAUUACUUCCUGCCAGGCCACAAAUACCUAUUAAUAUCCUCUUAAAAUUAUAUAGAACCUGAAUUCUGUCAUGUCCAUUGUGCAAUGACCCAACUUCAGGACAUUGUUCUCUAUAUCUUUGAAUCAAUUUAAUUCAUCAGAUAUUUACUGAGCACUUAGUAUGUGCCAGCCCAUAGUAAUAUAUAUGAUAUAUAAUGGUGAGUGAAGUAGAUACCAUCCUACUUUGUCAGAGUUCACUUACUCUUAUGUGGCCAUGAUCACAAAACCAUUUUUUUGCCACUGAUUUUCCUGACUAGUAGUAACAAAUUUUCACUUCAUUAGUAAGGGCAUUUUAUGUUAAAUUUUUGUUGUGAAAUAAACAUGUACAAAGUGCUUAAUAUAAAGGCCAUAAAUCUUAAAAUCUGAGCUGUCUCUCACAAAAUCCCAAAUGCUUAUUUAUGUGCUUAUUAUAGACUUCUACUAAAAAUAACAAAGGAAACAGAAAAAGAGAAGAUGAAAUUUAUGACCACCAUUUGGUGUCUAGACAGCCUUUCUUUUGGAUUGUUUCAGGCUUGGAAGAAUAGAGUAGGGAUUCAGUCAUUCAAAUUUACAUGAUUGGCAGUGACUGAGUUUAGAGCAGUUUGUUUAUCCAAUUGGGAGGUUUUUUUGGUUGUUUAAUCAUUCGUAUACAGUAGCAGUGCCCACAUUGGUACAAACUCUGGAUUUCCCAAAAUUGGUAGGGAGAACUAGGCAUAUAAUUCUGGAAAGAGCAAAGGAUAUCUUUGUUAAAACAGUAUCAACAUGAUAUUUAAUGCUGAAAUGCUAAAGGCAGAUCCAGUUCAAGCUAGGGACAAGAUAAGGAUAUUUGCUCUCAGUACCACUGAACCAUGCUUUGAGAGUUUGAGGCACUAUAACAUGCAAAGCAAAAUACUGGAGUUCUCUCUGGGGUGCAACGGGAUCCGUGGCCUCUUGGGAACACUGAGAUGCAGGUUUGAUCCCCAGCCAGUGCAGUGGGUUAAGGAUCCAGCACUGCUGCAGCUGUAGCUUCGAUCUCAACUGCUGUUCGGAUAUGAUCCCUAGCAUGGAACUCCAUAUGCGGCAGGGUGGCCAAAAA
rnacentral:lncRNA from 1 species